rnacentral:ribozyme from 13 species
UUUUUUUUUUUUUUUUUUUUUUUUUUUUUUUUUUUUUCACCCCCCAAG